UGUUUCGGCUAGGGGGCCAUCCCGGCUUACCAACCCGAUGCAAACUGCGAAUACCGGAGAAUGUUAUCACGGGAGACACACGGCGGGUGCUAACGUCCGUCGUGAAGAGGGAAACAACCCAGACCGCCAGCUAAGGUCCCAAAGUCAUGGUUAAGUGGGAAACGAUGUGGGAAGGCCCAGACAGCCAGGAUGUUGGCUUAGAAGCAGCCAUCAUUUAAAGAAAGCGUAAUAGCUCACUGGUCGAGUCGGCCUGCGCGGAAGAUGUAACGGGGCUAAACCAUGCACCGAAGCUGCGGCAGCGACGCUGAUGCGUUGUUGGGUAGGGGAGCGUUCUGUAAGCCUGCGAAGGUGGCCUGUGAGGGUUGCUGGAGGUAUCAGAAGUGCGAAUGCUGACAUAAGUAACGAUAAAGCGGGUGAAAAGCCCGCUCGCCGGAAGACCAAGGGUUCCUGUCCAACGUUAAUCGGGGCAGGGUGAGUCGACCCCUAAGGCGAGGCCGAAAGGCGUAGUCGAUGGGAAACGGGUUAAUAUUCCCGUACUUGGUGUUAC
rnacentral:rRNA from 1 species